UAAAAUAACUUUUCUCUUUAUUUGCAUUUAAAUUCAGUGAGCCUAGAAAAGCAGGCGUACAAUUGUACUAAACUCAUCAGUUAUGUGCAAACAUCAGAUACAGAAUAAACCUUGUAACUAGGGGCUCCUAGGAGCAUUAUUAUACUGCAUCUGUUCUUAUUUGAGAGCCUUGAAUAAAUAUAGAAUGAAGUCUAUGUUGCUAAUGGUUUUUGGGUUGUGGCUCAUUUGCUAGUUUUCCCUUUCCAAAAUAUUGCUUGCAUAUUUUGUAGUCCAUGAUUAUGCAGAAACAAAACCACAGAUGUUUAUAUUUCUGGGGUUUCUUCUUCUAAGUACAUACUCUCUUAAACAUAUCCCAUGAAAAAUCCAUGUCUCACCCAUUCAUUUCAUAAUCAUGUUAGAGAUAUUCUGAAAGCAGCAUUUUAUGGUCUUCUGGGGAUUCUCAUCCAUCUUUGUCCUCCAUUCUUCAUUUCUUUCCUCCCUUCAUGCUGCCUUCUGUCUCUUCAGUUUGUGUGACUGCUGAGAGCGCUGUCAGGUUCUACAUCCACUUGUAUUCCUUGUUUCAGAUUCAUGAUACAAUCACUGGAAUGAUUAUCCAGUGGUGAGACCUUGGCUUGAUGUUCUUCACCAUGUCAAUCUUGUCCCCAGUGGCACAGUCAUACCAAUGUUAGGUGUUCUGGAACAAAAGCAUGUUGUCAUUCAUCAUUGUAGAAUCAUAGACUUCUAGGGGAAACCUGUUCCACACUCCACCACCACACUUAACAGCAUACCUGAAAGAAAGAAGCGAAAGGAAGUAGAAGUGAGAGAGACCACAUCUACCCUCGUCUGAUGUUAAGAUUGCAGGAACAUCCUGUCUGUAUAAUCCUAGACUGAAACAGCACCUGCUAAGCAUUUAUGUCUUCAAGUAUUACUCAAAAACAAUCUGAGAACAGUGUGAAAUUGGAGAAUUGCCUUAAGAUUUUAUAGUAACUUCCAUGCAUUUCAAGGAGGAAGGUAAAACAAAUCAUGCAAGGAAGAUGCAAUCACAAAGAAAUUAAAUCUUACAUGUGGGAAAUAAAAAUAUGUAUUUGAAUA